UGCAAGUCGAACGGUAACAGGUUAAACUGACGAGUGGCGAACGGGUGAGUAACACAUCGGAACGUGCCCAAUCGUGGGGGAUAACGUAGCGAAAGCUACGCUAAUACCGCAUACGAUCUACGGAUGAAAGCGGGGGAUCGCAAGACCUCGCGCGAAUGGAGCGGCCGAUGGCAGAUUAGGUAGUUGGUGAGGUAAAGGCUCACCAAGCCGACGAUCUGUAGCUGGUCUGAGAGGACGACCAGCCACACUGGGACUGAGACACGGCCCAGACUCCUACGGGAGGCAGCAGUGGGGAAUUUUGGACAAUGGGCGCAAGCCUGAUCCAGCAAUGCCGCGUGCAGGAUGAAGGCCUUCGGGUUGUAAACUGCUUUUGUACGGAACGAAACGGCGAGCUCUAAUACAGUUUGCUAAUGACGGUACCGUAAGAAUAAGCACCGGCUAACUACGUGCCAGCAGCCGCGGUAAUACGUAGGGUGCAAGCGUUAAUCGGAAUUACUGGGCGUAAAGCGUGCGCAGGCGGUUAUGUAAGACAGAUGUGAAAUCCCCGGGCUUAACCUGGGAACUGCAUUUGUGACUGCAUAGCUAGAGUACGGUAGAGGGGGAUGGAAUUCCGCGUGUAGCAGUGAAAUGCGUAGAUAUGCGGAGGAACACCGACGGCGAAGGCAAUCCCCUGGACCUGUACUGACGCUCAUGCACGAAAGCGUGGGGAGCAAACAGGAUUAGAUACCCCGGUAGUCCACGCCCU
rnacentral:rRNA from 1 species